GAAGCUGGAAUUGCUAGUAAUGGCAGGUCAGCAUACUGCCGUGAAUACGUUCCCGGGCCUUGUACACACCGCCCGUCACACCAUGAGAGUUGGAAAUACCCGAAGCCUGUGAGCUAACUUAAAAGAGGNAGCAGUCGAAGGUAGAGCCAAUGAUUGGGGUGAAGUCGUAACAAGGUACC
rnacentral:rRNA from 1 species